AGUGAACGCUGGCGGUAGGCCUAACACAUGCAAGUCGAACGGCAGCACAGGAGAGCUUGCUCUCUGGGUGGCGAGUGGCGGACGGGUGAGGAAUACAUCGGAAUCUACUUUUUCGUGGGGGAUAACGUAGGGAAACUUACGCUAAUACCGCAUACGACCUACGGGUGAAAGCAGGGGACCUUCGGGCCUUGCGCGAUUGAAUGAGCCGAUGUCAGAUUAGCUAGUUGGCGGGGUAAAGGCCCACCAAGGCGACGAUCCGUAGCUGGUCUGAGAGGAUGAUCAGCCACACUGGAACUGAGACACGGUCCAGACUCCUACGGGAGGCAGCAGUGGGGAAUAUUGGACAAUGGGCGCAAGCCUGAUCCAGCCAUACCGCGUGGGUGAAGAAGGCCUUCGGGUUGUAAAGCCCUUUUGUUGGGAAAGAAAUCCAGCUGGCUGAUACCCGGUUGGGAUGACGGUACCCAAAGAGUAAGCACCGGCUAACUUCGUGCCAGCAGCCGCCGCCG
rnacentral:rRNA from 1 species